UUAAGCGACUAAGCGUACACGGUGGAUGCCCUGGCAGUCAGAGGCGAUGAAGGACGUGCUAAUCUGCGAUAAGCGUCGGUAAGGUGAUAUGAACCGUUAUAACCGGCGAUUUCCGAAUGGGGAAACCCAGUGUGAUUCGUCACACUAUCAUUAACUGAAUCCAUAGGUUAAUGAGGCGAACCGGGGGAACUGAAACAUCUAAGUACCCCGAGGAAAAGAAAUCAACCGAGAUUCCCCCAGUAGCGGCGAGCGAACGGGGAGCAGCCCAGAGCCUGAAUCAGUGUGUGUGUUAGUGGAAGCGUCUGGAAAGGCGCGCGAUACAGGGUGACAGCCCCGUACACAAAAAUGCACAUGCUGUGAGCUCGAUGAGUAGGGCGGGACACGUGGUAUCCUGUCUGAAUAUGGGGGGACCAUCCUCCAAGGCUAAAUACUCCUGACUGACCGAUAGUGAACCAGUACCGUGAGGGAAAGGCGAAAAGAACCCCGGCGAGGGGAGUGAAAAAGAACCUGAAACCGUGUACGUACAAGCAGUGGGAGCACGCUUAGGCGUGUGACUGCGUACCUUUUGUAUAAUGGGUCAGCGACUUAUAUUCUGUAGCAAGGUUAACCGAAUAGGGGAGCCGAAGGGAAACCGAGUCUUAACUGGGCGUUAAGUUGCAGGGUAUAGACCCGAAACCCGGUGAUCUAGCCAUGGGCAGGUUGAAGGUUGGGUAACACUAACUGGAGGACCGAACCGACUAAUGUUGAAAAAUUAGCGGAUGACUUGUGGCUGGGGGUGAAAGGCCAAUCAAACCGGGAGAUAGCUGGUUCUCCCCGAAAGCUAUUUAGGUAGCGCCUCGUGAAUUCAUCUCCGGGGGUAGAGCACUGUUUCGGCAAGGGGGUCAUCCCGACUUACCAACCCGAUGCAAACUGCGAAUACCGGAGAAUGUUAUCACGGGAGACACACGGCGGGUGCUAACGUCCGUCGUGAAGAGGGAAACAACCCAGACCGCCAGCUAAGGUCCCAAAGUCAUGGUUAAGUGGGAAACGAUGUGGGAAGGCCCAGACAGCCAGGAUGUUGGCUUAGAAGCAGCCAUCAUUUAAAGAAAGCGUAAUAGCUCACUGGUCGAGUCGGCCUGCGCGGAAGAUGUAACGGGGCUAAACCAUGCACCGAAGCUGCGGCAGCGACGCUGAUGCGUUGUUGGGUAGGGGAGCGUUCUGUAAGCCUGUGAAGGUGUGCUGUGAGGCAUGCUGGAGGUAUCAGAAGUGCGAAUGCUGACAUAAGUAACGAUAAAGCGGGUGAAAAGCCCGCUCGCCGGAAGACCAAGGGUUCCUGUCCAACGUUAAUCGGGGCAGGGUGAGUCGACCCCUAAGGCGAGGCCGAAAGGCGUAGUCGAUGGGAAACAGGUUAAUAUUCCUGUACUUGGUGUUACUGCGAAGGGGGGACGGAGAAGGCUAUGUUGGCCGGGCGACGGUUGUCCCGGUUUAAGCGUGUAGGCUGGUUUUCCAGGCAAAUCCGGAAAAUCAAGGCUGAGGCGUGAUGACGAGGCACUACGGUGCUGAAGCAACAAAUGCCCUGCUUCCAGGAAAAGCCUCUAAGCAUCAGGUAACAUCAAAUCGUACCCCAAACCGACACAGGUGGUCAGGUAGAGAAUACCAAGGCGCUUGAGAGAACUCGGGUGAAGGAACUAGGCAAAAUGGUGCCGUAACUUCGGGAGAAGGCACGCUGAUAUGUAGGUGAAGUCCCUCGCGGAUGGAGCUGAAAUCAGUCGAAGAUACCAGCUGGCUGCAACUGUUUAUUAAAAACACAGCACUGUGCAAACACGAAAGUGGACGUAUACGGUGUGACGCCUGCCCGGUGCCGGAAGGUUAAUUGAUGGGGUCAGCGCAAGCGAAGCUCUUGAUCGAAGCCCCGGUAAACGGCGGCCGUAACUAUAACGGUCCUAAGGUAGCGAAAUUCCUUGUCGGGUAAGUUCCGACCUGCACGAAUGGCGUAAUGAUGGCCAGGCUGUCUCCACCCGAGACUCAGUGAAAUUGAACUCGCUGUGAAGAUGCAGUGUACCCGCGGCAAGACGGAAAGACCCCGUGAACCUUUACUAUAGCUUGACACUGAACAUUGAGCCUUGAUGUGUAGGAUAGGUGGGAGGCUUUGAAGUGUGGACGCCAGUCUGCAUGGAGCCGACCUUGAAAUACCACCCUUUAAUGUUUGAUGUUCUAACGUUGACCCGUGAUCCGGGUUGCGGACAGUGUCUGGUGGGUAGUUUGACUGGGGCGGUCUCCUCCUAAAGAGUAACGGAGGAGCACGAAGGUUGGCUAAUCCUGGUCGGACAUCAGGAGGUUAGUGCAAUGGCAUAAGCCAGCUUGACUGCGAGCGUGACGGCGCGAGCAGGUGCGAAAGCAGGUCAUAGUGAUCCGGUGGUUCUGAAUGGAAGGGCCAUCGCUCAACGGAUAAAAGGUACUCCGGGGAUAACAGGCUGAUACCGCCCAAGAGUUCAUAUCGACGGCGGUGUUUGGCACCUCGAUGUCGGCUCAUCACAUCCUGGGGCUGAAGUAGGUCCCAAGGGUAUGGCUGUUCGCCAUUUAAAGUGGUACGCGAGCUGGGUUUAGAACGUCGUGAGACAGUUCGGUCCCUAUCUGCCGUGGGCGCUGGAGAACUGAGGGGGGCUGCUCCUAGUACGAGAGGACCGGAGUGGACGCAUCACUGGUGUUCGGGUUGUCAUGCCAAUGGCACUGCCCGGUAGCUAAAUGCGGAAGAGAUAAGUGCUGAAAGCAUCUAAGCACGAAACUUGCCCCGAGAUGAGUUCUCCCUGACUCCUUGAGAGUCCUGAAGGAACGUUGAAGACGACGACGUUGAUAGGCCGGGUGUGUAAGCGCAGCGAUGCGUUGAGCUAACCGGUACUAAUGAACCGUGAGGCUUAACCUU
rnacentral:rRNA from 1 species